GACGAACGCUGGCGGCGUGCCUAAUACAUGCAAGUAGAACGCUGAAGAGAGGAGCUUGCUCUUCUUGGAUGAGUUGCGAACGGGUGAGUAACGCGUAGGUAACCUGCCUGGUAGCGGGGGAUAACUAUUGGAAACGAUAGCUAAUACCGCAUAAAAUUGAUUAUUGCAUGAUAAUUAAUUGAAAGAUGCAACUGCAUCACUAUCAGAUGGACCUGCGUUGUAUUAGCUAGUUGGUGAGGUAACGGCUCACCAAGGCGACGAUACAUGGCCGACCUGAGAGGGUGAUCGGCCACACUGGGACUGCGACACGGCCCAGACUCCUACGGGAGGCAGCAGUAGGGAAUCUUCGGCAAUGGGGGGAACCCUGACCGAGCAACGCCGCGUGAGUGAAGAAGGUUUUCGGAUCGUAAAGCUCUGUUGUAAGAGAAGAACGGGUGUGAGAGUGGAAAGUUCACACUGUGACGGUAUCUUACCAGAAAGGGACGGCUAACUACGUG
rnacentral:rRNA from 1 species